AGGAUUAUAGCUCAGUGUAAAGCAUUCGAUUGCAGAUCGAGAGGUCACCAUUCAAACUUGGUUGGGCCCU
rnacentral:tRNA from 1 species